CUUUAAGCCUCCCUACAACACCAAAUGUACCCAUAGGCUUAAAAUUCACUCAAAUAAGGUACAGCCUAUUUGAAACAGGACACAACCUGCAACAGAGGGUAAUACAUAAACUAACGUGACCAAGUAGGCCUAAAAGCAGCCACCUUUUAAAAAGCGUUACAGCCUUAUCACAUUAUAUCAUUAAUUCCAACCUUAACCCAAAACCCCUUACCAAUACUGAAUGACCCCAUACCUCUAUGGAAGCCAUUAUGUUAAAACUAGUAACAAGAAUAUUUAUUCUCCCAUAAAUGUAAGUGUAAGCCGAAAUGGACCACCCAUCGGCACUUACCGCCAAUGAACCCACAGUAAUAACCCCCCCCCCAAAAA
rnacentral:rRNA from 1 species